CUGCAUGGCUGUCGUCAGCUCGUGUCGUGAGAUGUUGGUUAAGUCCCGCAACGAGCGCAACCCUCACUUUUAGUUGCCAUCGUUUAGUUGGGCACUCUGAAAGAACUGCCAGUGAUAAGCUGGAGGAAGGUGGGGAUGACGUCAAGUCCUCAUGGCCCUUACGUGUUGGGCUACACACGUGCUACAAUGGCAUUUACAACAGGAAGCAAAACGGCGACGUUAAGCAAAUCCUAAAAAAAUGCCUCAGUUCGGAUUGUACUCUGCAACUCGAGUACAUGAAGCUGGAAUUACUAGUAAUCGCGAUCAGCGCGCCGCGGUGAAUACGUUCCCGGGUCUUGUACACACGCAUC
rnacentral:rRNA from 1 species